CCUACGGUGGGCAGCAGUGGGGAAUAUUGGACAAUGGGCGAAAGCCUGAUCCAGCCAUGCCGCGUGUGUGAAGAAGGCCUUCGGGUUGUAAAGCACUUUCAGUGGGGAUGAAAGCCUUGGGGCUAAUACCCUCGAGGAAGGACAUCACCCACAGAAGAAGCACCGGCUAACUCCGUGCCAGCAGCCGCGGUAAUACGGAGGGUGCGAGCGUUAAUCGGAAUUACUGGGCGUAAAGCGCGCGUAGGCGGUCUGAUAAGCCGGUUGUGAAAGCCCCGGGCUCAACCUGGGAACGGCAUCCGGAACUGUCAGGCUAGAGUGCAGGAGAGGAGAGUAGAAUUCCCGGUGUAGCGGUGAAAUGCGUAGAGAUCGGGAGGAAUACCAGUGGCGAAGGCGGCCUUCUGGACUGACACUGACGCUGAGGUGCGAAAGCGUGGGUAGCAAACAGGAUUAGAUACCCGAGUAGUC
rnacentral:rRNA from 1 species